rnacentral:rRNA from 1 species
UACGGAGGGGCUAGCGUUGUUCGGAAUUACUGGGCGUAAAGCGCACGUAGGCGGCUUUGUAAGUUAGAGGUGAAAGCCCGGGGCUCAACUCCGGAAUUGCCUUUAAGACUGCAUCGCUAGAAUUGUGGAGAGGUAAGUGGAAUUCCGAGUGUAGAGGUGAAAUUCGUAGAUAUUCGGAAGAACACCAGUGGCGAAGGCGACUUACUGGACACAGUAUUGACGCUGAGGUGCGAAAGCGUGGGGAGCAAAGCA